rnacentral:rRNA from 1 species
AGAAUCAACGCUGGCGGCGUGCCUAACACAUGCAAGUCGAUCGAGAAAGUGGAGCAAUCCAUGAGUAAAGAGGCGCACGGGUGAGUAACACGUGACUAACCUACCCUCGAGUGGGGAAUAACCUGGGGAAACCCGGGCUAAUACCGCAUAAUACCCACGGGUCAAAGGAGCAAUUCGCUUGAGGAGGGGGUCGCGGCAGAUUAGUUAGUUGGCGGGGUAAUGGCCCACCAAGACGAUGAUCUGUAUCCGGCCUGAGAGGGCGCACGGACACACUGGAACUGAAACACGGUCCAGACUCCUACGGGAGGCAGCAGUGGGGAAUUUUGCGCAAUGGGGGAAACCCUGACGCAGCAACGCCGCGUGGAGGAUGAAGUCCCUUGGGACGUAAACUCCUUUCGACCGGGACGAUAAUGACGGUACGGAUGAAGAGCCCCGGCUAACUUCGUGCCAGCAGCCGC